AUUUGCAGAGGACAUUUGACCCGACUGCCCAUAGCCGUUCACGUAAACACACAAUAGACGAAGACGAAACGACUCGGUCUCGUUCAAUUUUCUAACAUGAGCUAACUAAAAUUGCACGACGACGACUAAUCGUCGUUUUACUCGAACAUUUCAACUACGCAGAUCACGUAACAUCUUGAGAUAUGCAAGCAAAUACGCGCGCACGGAAAUUGGACUUGUUGCGACAAACACACCGCACUUUACGAAGACGUACACGCGAUCUUUACGACACACGAUACUCACGUACCAUUCAGUUCACUUCGGUCAAAUGGUACUUGUCCCUCUAACAUAACGCGGGGGCAAUACGAUCAUAAUCAAAGGUUCAAGAUGACUUUUUCCAAAGUCAUUCAACAAAGCACACGGAACGACGGUAGUCGUCCCGGCGGCCGAUCGUGAUACAACCGACAGGCACAAAAAUAUAUCAGUAACAGACGGCCCCAAACGGACUCGACCCUCACGUACCUCUCAACACCGUCCGUGAUAACAUUCGGUAUUUCCGUCAUUGUAUUUUCGCACGAUUCAAACUUUAAACAUACGAGAAGCACGUAGCGGUCAACUCAAGUUCAACUACCGGCGGAUCAAAAUUGAACAUGGCGAUGAGGGAUGGCGGCACCACUAGCGGUGGCGCAGUAGCGAUGGCAGCGCAUGCGCGGCCGCCUCCCGUACCAAUUGCCUGCUGCGCCAUCGCCAGUGCUGCUGCCGCCGCCGCCCACCGUCGCCGUCGCGGGCGCUAUUGUCGUCAUUGCCGCCAUUCUCAUCGCCAUGUUCAAUUUUGAUCAGCCGGUAGUCGGACGCUACGUGCUUGACGUGUUUCUUGUAUGUCUAGAAUGCGAAUUGUGCGGAAAUACAGUAGCGAGAGUGUCGAGCAUUGUCGCGAACGGUACUGAGUGGUACGCAAACGAGUGUCGUGUGUCGAAAUACGUAAUCGUGCAUACGUCUUCGGUAGCGUCUGCUUGUCGCGACGCAACAAGUGCAGUCUCGCUGCGCGCGUAUUCGCCCGAAUAUCUCGAGAGGUUGUGCGUUAUGCAGUGGAGUUGGAAAUUGUCGGGUUAAACACAGUUAGUCGUCGUCGUUUUCCAACGUGAAGGGAAGAAGGUAGUCUGUGCAGCCUGUUUAGCUAAAAAGAGCAGGCUUUCUGUCUCGAGCCAUGCCAUAUGACGUCGCGUGACGUCACUUUGGUCUCUUUGGUCGCUUUCUCUUUGCCGCGCCAUGUUUACUUUUAAUUCGUUGUCAGGACGUUCCGUGUUUAUCGCGUUGUUAAAAUUGUGCAUAGAUACGGCGUUGAAAGUACCGAAUAUAGUAUCGGAUAGUCGUCUCAAUUCGCAAGUUAGUCUGACGCGUAAUUGUCUUCGUAGAUGCUUCUCAUUCAUGCAAUUCUAACAUCGGUUGCGUCGCGGUAAGUUACGCACGCGUUUUGCGUUCGUACGUGACAUUAUUUGCGCAAUGUUCGGGAGUGUUCAAAAAUAUCGGGCGAUCAGCAUUAAUGUGCGGUUCAGCAGAACGAAAUGUCGCGACAUCGGAAUUCAGCAAGAAGACCGUAUCCGUGGAGAGGCAAUUUGGUAAUUCCUGUGGAUGGUCCAAGAGUGAGGUGGAUUAAAUAGAGACAAAGAAAACGCGCGCGAAUAAUUGAUCUGCUGUCGAUAUUCCUCGGGGCGAGAAUUGACGAGAGGAAUCCAACGUCCAUCGUCGCCGAAUUAUCGUGAAAUAAACGAACCGCAGCCGGUUCGUCGCAUCGCGCGUUUUUUUCUUUUCUAGGAGUGCCGCCGUUUAAGUAUUAGACUAAUGGACUUUUCAUAACUCCCCAUUUGAUAAAAUCCUAAUUCGAGGGCCGGAAAUCGCACCUUCGCUGCGGCUUCGGAUUCAAUGCCAUUGAUUUCGUUUUCUUCCGCGUGGGGCUUAUCCUUUUUCGGGGGCGGGUACGCGUGCGUCCUACUUGCCGACUCGGGGUGCUGAAUCCACGGGACUCCCUCCGAAUUGGAACUCUUAUCGUGAGUUUUAUAAAUUCGAAGAACCGCAGUGUCGCGCGAAAGACUUUAUAGAUAAUUAGUCCACGCGCGGAAAUUUAAUUUAUUAUUCGCGAGUGUUCCGCGAGUGUGCAAUGAGAGGAAGAGAACAACCUUGAGGACUCUGAGAGGAGGAGGAAGCCUGGGCAUCGGGCGUCAGCGGGGCAACCUUGGGGUAAAUAUAAUUUUUUAUUUACAUGAAUUUAAUAAUCUUUUUCUCUUUUAUUCCAUCUUAUUGCAAAUUAAGAAAAAAAGAUGC